AGAAGCAUUCGCAGUUAGGUGCUCAUUUGAAACAAAAAUCCUUGGAUCCUGAUCGACGAAGACAAUCAAUAGGACCAAUACCUAAUGCUCACAGGGCCUCUGAUGCUUUUUUAGAUCCCAAUCAUGCAGCAAUACUAUUUAGAGACUCUAGAGGCUUACCUGUAGUGGACCCUUUUUUAGAAAAAAUCAACAUU